rnacentral:rRNA from 1 species
AGCAGCCGCGGUAAUUCCAGCUCCAAUAGCGUAUAUUAAAGUUGUUGCAGUUAAAAGCUCGUAGUUGAAUUUCGGGAUCAAAUUGUCGGUCGUGCCUCGGUACGUACUGGUAUUAUUGGUUCCUCCCUUCUGACGAACCACGAUGUCAUUAAUUUGGUGUCAUGGGAAAUCAGGACUGUUACUUUGAAAAAAAUUAGAGUGUUUAAAGCAGGCUCGCGCUUGAAUACAUAGCAUGGAAUAAUGAAAUAGGACGUUUGAUUCUAUUUUGUUGGUUUCUAGGAUCGACGUAAUGAUUAAUAGGGAUAGUUGGGGGCAUUAGUAUUCAAUUGUCAGAGGUGAAAUUCUUGGAUUUAUUGAAGACUAACUACUGCGAAAGCAUUUGCCAAGGAUGUUUUCAUUAAUCAAGAACGAAAGUUAGGGGAUCGAAGACGAUCAGAUACCGUCGUAGUCUUAACCAUAAACUAUGCCGACUAGGGAUCGGAUGAUGUUAAUUUUUUUAAUGACUCAUUCGGCGCCUUAC